AGAGUUUGAUCCUGGCUCAGAUUGAACGCUGGCGGCAUGCCUUACACAUGCAAGUCGAACGGCAGCGCGGGAGCAAUCCUGGCGGCGAGUGGCGAACGGGUGAGUAAUACAUCGGAACGUGCCCAAUCGUGGGGGAUAACGCAGCGAAAGCUGUGCUAAUACCGCAUAAGAUCUACGGAUGAAAGCAGGGGAUCGCAAGACCUUGCGCGAAUGGAGCGGCCGAUGGCAGAUUAGGUAGUUGGUGAGGUAAAGGCUCACCAAGCCUUCGAUCUGUAGCUGGUCUGAGAGGACGACCAGCCACACUGGGACUGAGACACGGCCCAGACUCCUACGGGAGGCAGCAGUGGGGAAUUUUGGACAAUGGGCGCAAGCCUGAUCCAGCCAUGCCGCGUGCAGGAUGAAGGCCUUCGGGUUGUAAACUGCUUUUGUACGGAACGAAAAGUCUCUUUCUAAUAAAGAGGGAUCAUGACGGUACCGUAAGAAUAAGCACCGGCUAACUACGUGCCAGCAGCCGCGGUAAUACGUAGGGUGCAAGCGUUAAUCGGAAUUACUGGGCGUAAAGCGUGCGCAGGCGGUUAUGUAAGACAGUUGUGAAAUCCCCGGGCUCAACCUGGGAACUGCAUCUGUGACUGCAUAGCUAGAGUACGGUAGAGGGGGAUGGAAUUCCGCGUGUAGCAGUGAA
rnacentral:rRNA from 1 species